rnacentral:miRNA from 1 species
UGGAUGUCGCUGACACAGGACAGGGGCCUCCAUCAUUACCCGGCAGUAUUAGAGACUCCCAACAGGCACCCAAACACUGCUGGGUAAGACGAGGGCCCCCACCCAGCUUGCCCA